rnacentral:rRNA from 1 species
UAACGCGUGGAUAACCUGCCUCACACUGGGGGAUAACAGUUAGAAAUGACUGCUAAUACCGCAUAAGCGCACAGCACCGCAUGGUACAGUGUGAAAAACUCCGGUGGUGUGAGAUGGAUCCGCGUCUGAUUAGCCAGUUGGCGGGGUAACGGCCCACCAAAGCGACGAUCAGUAGCCGACCUGAGAGGGUGACCGGCCACAUUGGGACUGAGGCACGGCCCAA